rnacentral:rRNA from 1 species
UACGUAGGGCGCAAGCGUUGUCCGGAAUUAUUGGGCGUAAAGAGCUCGUAGGCGGUCUGUCGCGUCUGGUGUGAAAUCCCAUGGCUCAACUGUGGCUUGCAUCGGGUACGGGCAGACUAGAGUGCUGUAGGGGAGACUGGAAUUCCUGGUGUAGCGGUGAAAUGCGUAGAUAUCGUAAGGAAGACCAGUGGCGAAGGCGGGUCUCUGGACAGUUCCUGACGCUGAGGCACGAAGGUCAGGGGAGCAAACGGG